GAGGAUGUGAGAUUGAGGUAGGAGAAGGAGAGGGGUCAGGGCCGGAGGGAGAGGAGAGGAGAGGAGGGGCGGAUAUUUUGGGCGGCGAGGGGCGUGGACGCGAGGAGAGGCGAGAGGGAAGGGAGGGAGCGAGAGCGUGAUGGAUUAGGAGGCGACUUCCACCCCCUUGCCUUGCCUUUUCUUGGCCAGAACGCGCGCAGGACUAGAGCGGCCUCCUCUACCACCACCGCCGCCGCUAGGACGGCCUCGACCGGUGCGUCGACCACCACGGCCACCGCCGCCGCCAGCCGUAGCGCAAGCGCCACGACGUCACCCACGAGCAGAGGUUCCAGUUCCAGCGGGGGCUCGGCGCGCCACUCCCGCCCAGCCGGCCUCCUCCUCGGCCGCGGCCCCCGUUCCUGCCGCGGUCGCUCAUGGAGUAGCUCCUCCUCCUCCCGGAGUUGCUGGUGUUGCAGCAGGAGUUCACGCGGCUCUAGGUCUGGCGGUAGAGGCUUCCCCGUUGGAGGAAGGAAAAGUGACUUAUGUUCAUACGGCCUCCCAAGUACUGGCAAAAGCGCCAGGACUAGAAGCAGAAGGAACCGAGGUAGCUCCCCAAGUCGUGUUUCUCAGUCGGAACGGUAAUGUCGCACCCGUUCUGUACGUUCGGCCGAGAACGAUUACGGCGCAAGUCGUGUUAACGGAAACACGACCCACGCCAGUGGAGAGACCACAGACCAAAGGAACCUUACUUCUAGCGCUGAAUGCGCUUACGGUCCUGUUGAGAGCUCCGUUCCUUCCCACAACCCUUCCGCAAAUAGCAACGAAAGGCGAGACCACGACACUACCCGAAGGAAGAACGACGUUCACCGGAAAAACAAGAAAUGCAGCGUUAGUUGAACAAACCCGAAAUAAUACCGCUACUGACCCUCCCAGAAAAGCUCCGAUAGUGGCCAAUACCAGAACCGCCAAGAAGGUACCGAGAAAAGCCGGCACAUCCGCCACCCUAAAUGUGGUUUCGACGACUACAACCACGACUAGAACAACCCUUUCAUCUUUCCUUGUAGGGACUUCUGCUGGGCUCCUUGGGCCGGCAGUAACGUCUGUUACAACCACUGUUACAACCUCUAUAACGACCUUACCCAAGUCUAGAGAAACCAAGGAUGCGGCUCAGUAGAACACGACGAGAACAACAACGGAGUUAGAGAAGGAAACCUUAGUUGGCACUUAAGUGAGGGUACUACAUGGGUGAGGAUUAAUCGAGUCACCCGUAUUAUCGGACAAACCAUUGUUGAGAAAAACGUUGGCUAAAGAAACUCCACUUCCUCCAUCUAGUUUAUCUCGGACGGGAAUUUUUUGUCGAAUAAUAGAGGUGACGGCACUACUGGCAACCGUAACGUGAUCAGUCAACCAAUCCAGAGGGUAUAUGGAAGUGUUAUAAGUUGAAACCACGGGUCUUCUGCCACGUAUCGACCGUUGAUAAAGAUACACACCGCCAACCAGAGACCCGACCGGAUCAGUAACCUAAAUAGUGUCUCAUGAUGUGUUCGUUACGUAUGUCAGGACACGUCCUACAGCGACUAAGGACGUCUUGACCUCGACGUUGGUUACAGUAGAAACCAGAACGAGACCCUAUGUUUAGUCAAUAAUAGGGAUAGAAACGGUAACGGAAGUCAUAAAAGGAGUCGAAGUCGGAACGGCGCUACAUACCACAACGACACCGACGAGAACCUUACGAGUCGUGUUAACGCUGGCCAGAACGGUAACUACGGAUACCGGGAUAGUCACUGUUGCGACCUCCGUAACGACUUUACCGACCGUACUCGGUGUCUUAAGCACUUUCUUGACUACGAGACCUACGACGUCCUUUGUGUUGACGACGGUAACCUUUCCCUAAGCGUUAACCGAGUCGACGGAACCACAGGGAACGAGAGAAGCCACGAAAACACUCGGCACGACCCUAGUGUUGACAACUACAAGACUGUGGUUUGCAAAAGUAACCGGAGGAACAACCGCGAUACGAGGGCAUGACCAAGAGACGCUACUGGUACUUCUCACAACCUUCGCGCCGAGAGUUCUACCACCUCCUUCACGCCUCCGUCAAGUUGUGCUAGGGACCCGAGUACCUCCCGUGGCGGUUCGGACUGAUACGCUGUACACACUUCUAGAGGUGGCUACGCAGGUAGUUCCUCUACUAGGGGGGCCCAUGAGAACAGUACGACUGUGGAGAAUAGCAGCCCUGGAAGAAGCCACAACUCUGGGAGAGACCACAGGAACGGCCACGAGACCAAAGACCACAAGUCUAACGGUAAAGUCGUAGUUUGUGACCACCACGGACCCUGUUGCGCUUCUUUAUGUAACUCCGACCGCGUAGACUCGUGCGUUUCUCGGACCCGGGUUUUCCGAGUCUGACGGUGUUCCGACGACACUAGCCGCUGUGGUAGCCCCUGGGAGAGUUCCUGUGGAGCCCGGGGAGCGAGUUGUAGGAGUAGUUCGAGUACCGCCAGCUCAGGGAGCACAAGCGGGGGAAGAAGCGGUGGAUACCUCCGUAGGAGAAAUUCAUAGAAAUCUCGCUCUUCUAACUGAUAGAUCAAAACGGUCACCCCUCGCACGAUGAAGUAGAUGUACAGUACCUCGAGGAAGUCUACUACCGGGAGAACACAAAAUGUAAGGCAACAAGGGCCAGAAAGUGGUAGUACAACUUGAACAGAUCAAAAACAAGGCCAUCUACAUCAUCACCAUCGUCUCCCAUCGCUUUACUUACCGGUAAGCUGUCCAAACCUGAUCUCACAGAACCCCCAAGAUAACACGGACAUCUACCUACUACUACUACUACUGCUACUACUACUUAGAACAUACGUGUAACGUCUAAAGUACAAAACUUAAGUUACCCUCGAUGAGAAUAGUAAAACACCCACUGACCUACCUACGUUAUACUGAAACAC
rnacentral:rRNA from 1 species